UACGGGGGGGGCAAGCGUUGUUCGGAAUUACUGGGCGUAAAGGGCUCGUAGGCGGCCAACUAAGUCAGACGUGAAAUCCCUCGGCUUAACCGGGGAACUGCGUCUGAUACUGGAUGGCUUGAGUUCGGGAGAGGGAUGCGGAAUUCCAGGUGUAGCGGUGAAAUGCGUAGAUAUCUGGAAGAACACCAGUGGCGAAGGCGGCGCACUGGCCCGGUACUGACGCUGAUGUGCGAAAGCGUGGGGAGCAAACAGG
rnacentral:rRNA from 1 species